rnacentral:rRNA from 1 species
AGUCGAGCGCUUUCAAGCCAUGGUGAAGGCGCGGCGAACGGCUCAGUAACACGUGGCUAACCUACCCUUUGGACGGGGACAACCCCGGGAAACUGGGGCUAAUCCCCGAUAGGUGAGGAGGCCUGGAAUGGUUUCUCAUCUAAAGGGCGUUUAGACCAUGCUUCUAGGCGUCGCCAAAGGAUGGGGCCGCGGCCGAUCAGGUUGUUGGUGAGGUAACGGCUUACCAAGCCUAUAACCGGUACGGGCCGUGAGAGCGGGAGCCCGGAGAUGGGCACUGAGACAAGGGCCCAGGCCCUACGGGGCGCAGCAGUUGCGAAAACUCCGCAAUGCGCGAAAGCGUGACGGGGCUACCCCGAGUGCCGUCCGCUGAGGACGGCUUUUCCACGGUGUAAGGAGCCGUGGGAAUAAGGAGAGGGCAAGCCUGGUGUCAGCCGCCGCGGUAAAACCAGCUCUCCGAGUGGUGGGGAUGAUUAUUGGGCUUAAAGCGUUCGUAGCCGGCUCAGCAAGUCUUCCGUUAAAUCCAGCGAUCUAAUCGUUGGACUGCGGAAGAUACUGUUGGGCUAGGGGACGGGAGAAGCCGACGGUAUUCUCGGGGUAGGGGCGAAAUCCUAUAAUCCCGGGAGGACCACCAGUGGCGAAGGCGGUCGGCUAGAACGCGCCCGACGGUGAGGGACGAAAGCUGGGGGAGCGAACCGGAUUAGAUACCCGGGUAGUCCCAGCUGUAAACUAUGCGGGCUAGGUGUUGGGGCGGCUACGAGCCGCUUCAGUGCCGCACGGAAGCAAUUAAGCCCGCCGCCUGGGAAGUACGGCCGCAAGGCUGAAACUUAAAGGAAUUGGCGGGGGAGCACCACAAGGCGUGAAGCUUGCGGUUUAAUUGGAUUCAACGCCGGGA